GAGUUUGAUCAUGGCUCAGAUUGAACGCUGGCGGCAGGCCUAACACAUGCAAGUCGAGCGGUAGCACAAGAGAGCUUGCUCUCUGGGUGACGAGCGGCGGACGGGUGAGUAAUGUCUGGGAAACUGCCUGAUGGCGGGGGAUAACUAGUGGAAACGGUAGCUAAUACCGCAUAACGUCGCAAGACCAAAGUGGGGGCCCUUCGGGCCUCACGCCAUCAGAUGUGCCCAGGUGGGAUUAGCUGGUAGGUGAGGUAACGGCUCACCUAGGCGACGAUCCCUAGCUGGUCUGAGAGGAUGACCAGCCACACUGGAACUGAGACACGGUCCAGACUCCUACGGGAGGCAGCAGUGGGGAAUAUUGCACAAUGGGCGCAAGCUCUGAUGCAG
rnacentral:rRNA from 1 species